rnacentral:rRNA from 2 species
GGUUAAGUGACUAAGCGUACACGGUGGAUGCCUUGGCAGUCAGAGGCGAUGAAGGACGUAUUAACUUGCGAUAAGCCCAGAUUAGGUAGUAAAAACCAUUUGAGUCUGGGAUUUCCGAAUGGGGAAACCCAAUACCAUAAGGUAUUACUGUUGAGUGAAUACAUAGCUCAACAGGGCGAACCGGGGGAACUGAAACAUCUAAGUACCCCGAGGAAAAGAAAUCAACCGAGAUUCCGAAAGUAGCGGCGAGCGAAAUUGGACUAGCCCUUAAGCUUUACACGCGUUAGACGAACAGCCUGGAAAGGCCGACGAUACAGGGUGAUAGUCCCGUAGUUGACGACGUGUGUUCAGUGAAAUCGAGUAGGGCGGGACACGUGAUAUCCUGUCUGAAUAUGGGGGGACCAUCCUCCAAGGCUAAAUACUACUGACUGACCGAUAGUGAACCAGUACCGUGAGGGAAAGGCGAAAAGAACCCCUGUGAGGGGAGUGAAAUAGAACCUGAAACCGUGUACGUACAAGCAGUAGGAGCA